AUUGAACGCUGGCGGCAGGCCUAACACAUGCAAGUAGAACGAGUGGCGGACGGGUGGGUAAUGUCUGGGAAACUGCCUGAUGGAGGGGGAUAACUAAUGGAAACGGUAGCUAAUACCGCAUACCAUCGGAUGUGCCCUGAUGGGAUUAGAUAGUAGGUGGGGUAACGGCUCACCUAGGCGACGAUCCCUAGCUGGUCUGAGAGGAUGAACAGCCACACUGGAACUGAGACACGGUCCAGACUCCUACGAGAGGCAGCAGGGGGGAAUAUUGCACAAUGGGCGCAAGCCUGAUGCAGCCAUGCCGCGAGUAUGAAGAAGGCCGUCGGGUUGUAAAGUACUUUCAGCGGGGAGGCGUUACCCGCAGAAGAAGCACCGGCGAACUCCGUGCCAGCAGCCGCGGUAUAC
rnacentral:rRNA from 1 species